GACUCUGAGUGGCAGCCGGCUUUUGCCGACUGUCUUUUGCCAACCUUAGAACGGUUGGAGAAUAAGUUCUGGGUAAGACCAGUGCCAGCCGCCAUGUGCUUACGCAUAUAGCGCACGGUACGCGGUAAUACUGGCAGAACGAGUGGUGCCCACGAAUAUUGGGUCUAAAGAGACCGUAGCUGGCCUGUUAAGUCCACUGUGAAAUCUUGGGGCUCAACCUCAAGGCGUGCAGUGGAUACUGGCAGGCUCGAGAGCGGGGGAGGUCAGGGGUACUUACGGGGUAUGGGUAAAAUCAGUUGAUCCUGUAAGGACCACCAGUGGCGAAGGCGCCUGACCAAAACGCGUCUGACAGUGAGGGUCGAAGGCUAGGAGAACGAAUCGGAUUAGAUACCCGAGUAGCCCUAGCAGUAAAUCAUGCAGACUGUGGUGUUGCUCUGGCUUCGGGCCAUGGCAGUGCUGUAGCGUAGGUGUUAAGUCUGCCACCUGGGGAGUACGGCCGCAAGGUUGAAACUUAAAGGAAUUGGCGGGGGAGCACCACAAGGCGUGGAUGCUGCGGUUCAAUUGGAUACAACGCCAGGAACAUUACCGUGGGCGACGGCAGGAUGAAGGCCAGACUAAAGAUCUUGCCUAACGAGCCGAGAGGUGCUGCAUGGCCAUCGUCAGCUCGUGGUGCGAUAUCGCGGAUGCGAAAGCAUCUGUGUGAUCGUAUCUGCGAUGCACAAACUGUCUCGUUAAGUCGAGUAACGAGCGAGACCCUCGUUCAUAGUUGCUAAUUUCCCCUCCGGGGGAGAUGCACCCUAUGAGGACUGCCCGCGUUAAGCGGGAGGAAGGUGGGGGCGACGGUAGGUCAGUAUGGCCUGAAUCCCACGGGCUACACGUGGCAUACAAUGGUCGAGACAAUAGGCUGCGACGCCGAAAGGCGAAGCGAAUCCGACAAACUCGACCCAAGUUCGGAUUGGGGGCUGAAACUCGCCCCCAUGAAGCUGGAAUGCCUAGUAAUCGCUUGUCAUCAUCGAGCGGUGAAUGCGUCCCCG
rnacentral:rRNA from 1 species